UGAUGUUCACUGUAUCGAGGCCGAUCCUCUU
rnacentral:piRNA from 1 species